rnacentral:rRNA from 1 species
GUGUCAGCAGCCGCGGUAAUACAGAGGGUGCAAGCGUUGUUCGGAAUUAUUGGGCGUAAAGCGCGUGUAGGCGGCUUUGCAAGUCGGGUGUGAAAGCCCUCGGCUCAACCGAGGAAGUGCGCCCGAAACUGCAGAGCUUGAGUACCGGAGAGGAUGGCGGAAUUCCCCAAGUAGAGGUGAAAUUCGUAGAUAUGGGGAGGAACACCGGUGGCGAAGGCGGCCAUCUGGACGGAUACUGACGCUGAGACGCGAAAGCGUGGGUAGCAAACAGGAUUAGAUACCCUUGUAGUCC